AUCCAAUGUGGCGCAGUGGCAGUGUGACUGCUUGCAUAGCAGAAGAUUCCGGGUUCGAUUCCCGGUGGGUC